rnacentral:rRNA from 1 species
UACAGAGGUCUCAAGCGUUGUUCGGAUUCAUUGGGCGUAAAGGGUGCGUAGGCGGCGCGGUAAGUCGGGUGUGAAAUCUCGGGGCUUAACUCCGAAACUGCAUUCGAUACUGCCGUGCUUGAGGACUGGAGAGGAGACUGGAAUUUACGGUGUAGCGGUGAAAUGCGUAGAUAUCUGGAGGAACACCGGUGGCGAAGGCGGCAUCCUGGACCAACACUGACACUGAGGAGCGAAAGCCAGGGGAGCAAACGGG